UGAGUUCAGCUGAUGCUGGCCGCCAGACUAUGCGGAACUACUCUGGGCUCAUUGACUCCCUCAUGGCCUAUGUCCAGAACUGUGUGGCUGCCAGCCGCUGCGAUGACAAGUCUGUGGAGAACUGCAUGUGUAUCCUGCAUAACCUCUCAUACCGCCUGGACGCCGAGGUGCCCACCCGCUACCGGCAGCUGGAGUACAACACCCGCAAUGCCUACACCGAGAAGUCCUCCACUGGCUGCUUCAGCAACAGGGGUGACAAGAUGAUGAACAACAACUAUGACUGCCCACUCCCUGAGGAAGAGACCAACCCCAAGGGCAGCAGCUGGCUGUACCACUCAGAUGCCAUCCGCACCUACCUGAACCUCAUGGGCAAGAGCAAGAAAGACGCUACCUUGGAGGCCUGUGCCGGGGCCCUGCAGAACCUGACCGCCAGCAAGGGCCUGAUGUCGAAUGGUAUGAGUCAGUUGAUUGGAAUAAAGGAAAAGGGCUUGCCACAAAUAGCCCGUCUCCUGCAAUCUGGCAAUUCGGAUGUGGUGCGGUCUGGGGCCUCUCUGCUGAGCAACAUGUCUCGCCACCCUGUGCUGCACAGAGUGAUGGGUAAGA
rnacentral:lncRNA from 1 species